CGUGGGUCUUCUUUCCCCUAGGGAUGGACCUCCACCAGACAGAGUCGCCUCCUUUUCUUGGAUACGGGCCAUGAGUUGAUGUUGCGGCUGUGAAACACUUCGACGAGAACCAUUGUCCUCACAGGUACCAUCGUAUUCUUCCUCAUUCCCUUCGUGUAACCCAUUUUCUACCCAGUCUCUCCCAAUCCAUGUAAAGCUAGAAGUUAAUUUCUCAAUUGAGAUCUCAUCAUACAUUUGAUACAUUAUUCUCCAUGCAUGGCAGGUCCAUUAGAAAGGGCAAAUUAUGCACAAGUAUAAAACAGAUGCAAUUUUCCUUUUGUCAAAUAACAAUAUAUUUGGGGGUUUUAGAUCCUUUUUCCUAUUGAGAGUUUACCUUGCAUAACAGUAUUCUUGUGCUUCCAUGCAUGAAACUUAACUUACUAUGCUACAUCAUGUAUGUUUAAACUUGCGGUCUCCCCUGUGAACCUAGGUACUUGCGGGUUUGUUUGCAUUCAUAUAUUUCCAGUUUUUUGCUUUCAUAUAUCGCCGGGAUAUUUUGUGUAACCUAAGGUUGUCCAUUUUUCUUUGUUUUUUUGCCCUGGCCUACUUCAUUCCAUAUCAGGACCAGACAACGGUUUUAGUUUGUGAUAUAGCAUGGUAAUGCAUUCUGAUGGUCUGGGAGUCGGCUCACAAUUUCGAAGAGAUGAUCCCAGUUGACAUAUGUAGUGGUUUUUCCUCCUGCAUAGCCGUAGGGUGUUAGCCUCUUCAUCCUUCCCAGAGGUAAGUCAAGUAGAGAGCAAAACCAGCUACAUCACCACCACAAGUCCCAUUUGCUUAUUUGUUAAUGUUGUGCUUUGCAUUGAUCUAAAUUUGUCAGUUGGUGCUUAGUUUUAGUUGGCGAGAUAUGAUGGUAUUAUUGGAGCAAAAUUGUAUCUUGCGUUAAUAGAUG
rnacentral:lncRNA from 1 species